rnacentral:lncRNA from 1 species
AAUAAGACCUGCUCCAGCCUGGAGGCCUACGCCACUGAGUGCUCUAAUGCAGGAGUCUGUAUCGACUGGAGGAAUGAAACCAAUGGGCUUUGUGGUAAGAUAGUCUAUAGUGUAUAUUACUAUAGGUGUUGUGUUGAGUUCUGAAAUAAUGUGUAUAUAAACAUGUUCCCAUCUUACAGAGCACAAGUGUCCAAGUAACAAAGUGUACGAGGCCUGUGGCUCCACUGUAGAGCCGACAUGCAAUGACAGAUACAACAAAAAGUUCCAGGCAGAUAGCGAGGCAUCCACUAUCGACACCAAGGAGGGCUGCUUCUGUCCUCCUGGCACCACCUUAUUCAACACAGUCUAUGACAUGUGUGUCACCUCCUGUGAUUGUGUUGGACCUAAUGGACAACCAAAGCAGCCUGGUGACACAUGGACAAGUGACUGCAAUACCUGUGUGUGUGACAUGGAUUCCAUGAGCAUCCAGUGUGAGCCUGUUCAAUGCCCAACAGUACAGAGCCCCAUCUGCAGUGGAGCAGGCCAGCAGCU